UCUCCUCUUCAACCUUCCUUUUAUACGUGUAACCUCCAUGAGAAAAGAUUGAUUGAAAAAUAUUGUUGACUUCUCUUUGUCUCACAUUUCAGUCCAAAUGCAUUGCAAACCCCAAAUUUUCUUCCUCUCUUAUACGUGCCAAAACCUUGAUAACUUGGUUGCCAAUUGUCCAUAAAUAAUUUCCAAUUUUGUGACUUCAUCAAUAUCAACCAUUUCUAUAAAUUGCUCUUCCAAACUCCAUUUUUAUGCAAGUUAAAAGCAAUUGAUAUUUCUGAUUGUUAUUCUAAGCUUAAUUUGUUUCCCUCUUUAUUUAUUCCCUUGAUUUUUCACCAUUAAAGACUACCCAUUUUCUCUCUCCUCUGUUUCACCACCGCGGCUCCACCGCUGCCACCACCUGUUUCCGGCGAAUCCUUCCUUCACCGCCUCGGACCAGUGCCCAGAACCCUGACCCGGCACCACCUUUUCCCCGUCGCCGUGUCCAUGCCGCUGUGGCCCUUUUUCUACGGGUGUUGCUGCUGUUGCGUGACUACUGCUAUUCUUUCUCUGAUUGAAUUCUCAUGGUCUUGUUUUAUUGAGUACUUGGAUUUUAAAGGUGUGGGCCAUGGUUUUAUGUUAAGGAGCCAACAAUCUUAUGGAGUAAGAUAGUGGACCGUGAGUUUAGUAAAGAAAGAACUAUUUUGGGUUUAUUUUUCCAUAAAGGUAAAAGUUUAUUAAGUUCUAAGUAUCAUAAUUUUAAGUAGGCAUAUUACUAAAUUAAUUAAAGGAUCUUAUGAUUAAUGCAUAUUGUUGAGGUUGGAAACUACGGGAAGUAUUUGGAGUAUAAGGUGUUCGGCUCAAACGUUUUAGUUAAGGAUCGAUCGAGGUUCGAUUAAGGAGCUCAAGUUCUCAAGUCAAAGUUAUUACUGGAGUUGGUAGUUUAUUAUGGGGAUAUCGAAAUGAGAAUUAUUUUAUUUAUUUUUGGGAAAAAUUUGUAUUAUUUAAGAUAUGUUAUUUGAGGAUUAUCUUAUUUGUGGGCCCAUACCCACAGGUCCCAGGAUUAAUUAAGCCUAA